AUUGAACGCUGGCGGCAGGCUUAACACAUGCAAGUCGAGCGGAGAGAGGUAGCUUGCUACUGAUCUUAGCGGCGGACGGGUGAGUAAUGCUUAGGAAUCUGCCUAUUAGUGGGGGACAACAUUUCGAAAGGAAUGCUAAUACCGCAUACGUCCUACGGGAGAAAGCAGGGGAUCUUCGGACCUUGCGCUAAUAGAUGAGCCUAAGUCGGAUUAGCUAGUUGGCGGGGUAAAGGCCUACCAAGGCGACGAUCUGUAGCGGGUCUGAGAGGCUGAUCCGCCACACUGGGACGGAGACACGGCCCAGACGCCUACGGGAGGCAGCAGUGGGGAACAUUGGACAAUGGGCGGAGGCCUGAUCCAGCCAUGCCGCGUGUGUGAAGAAGGCCUUAUGGUUGUAAAGCACUUUAAGCGAGGAGGAGGCUACUUUAGUUAAUACCUAGAGAUAGUGGACGUUACUCGCAGAAUAAGCACCGGCUAACUCUGUGCCAGCCGCCGCCGUAAAAC
rnacentral:rRNA from 1 species